GUAUACGUCGUCGGGCAGUUGAUAUGUCGAAUAUCUUAGACAGGAAAGAAUAAAUAUAUAAGUGGAUGAAGACUUUAUCCUGAAGCUCUACUCCAGAGAUUAACAACUACACCUCUUGACGAACGUCCAAGGAUAGAAUUGUGUGAGGUAAAAUUCAACAGUAUUUAAAGGCCGUAUAAAGAAUAGUUCACAUGACUUGUAGAGUACUAUACCGGAAGGAAAAUGGACGGUAAGAUGCCCACUUGUUACACUGUCCGUAAACAGCCACAUCGAGUGUUAGAUUUAAGGUAUUAUCAACGUUAGUCUCCUUGAGUUCUCUUGUCCAUGAUUAGUUUAACGUACACGAAGAUCAUAAGGGUCAAUUUGGCCAUACGAAAUACACAAUGAUAAGGCUAAAGAACUCAGUGUACAGUAAAUACAAAAUCUAAACGAACGAGUCACACGUCUUAACCUAGUUCCUGAACCAUACCUUCGUCGAACUAGAUUCGAUAGGUCUGUACGGUUUACGUUUCCAAUAACGGUUAUUUGACAAAUAUGAAAGAAUUUUCUCUUUUCCUUUCCGUCUACGUGGAAAAACGAUUUUCUGAAAGAUGAUGAGACCAAUUUCCACGUGUCACCUAAAAAGAGGAGGAUAUUAUUAUGUUAAAACGCAGAUCGAUAGUGUUCACUACACGUGUUGCGUUCUUUCUGUAUACCCCUAUAACCACAGUAUCAGUGUCCCGUGAGUUACCCUCCUCGGUACCGACGGAAGACACGUGAGCUAGAACGAUAGUUCGAGCCUUCGCUGUUACAAGUUGAGUACUGAAAGCCUGUCGGAGCACAGCCGUUACGACAAAAGCGGAGGAUGAAACGGUUUAUACAUGGUUUGUGUUAAGCUGACCAUGUGCCUGUACUAUAACACGGCGUAAACGGUGGAAUAAAGAGGAAAGAAAGGUUUGACUGCAUGGUGGUGAAGGGUUCUCUCCAUAUGGAACCCGUGUUUGAAUAUUUAUACGAAAGGUUGAGGAUCCUUCGGAAAUAGCGACACAAUACGAAUCACGAACGAGUAUAAAAUCCAUACCUAGUUGCUUAGACUACCGUUGUGUUGCCUUGUCUAUACACUACGGUCGCCGCUUCUGGGUUUGACGACGUCCACGGAGAGGUAUAACUCGGACUCGUAAGUCCUGGUAAAGUGUAUGGACCCUCAUCUGUACCUUAGUCUACUGACCUCGUGGACGUCUUAGUAGUGUCGUGUUUCGCAACUCGCUAAUGCAUUCCUAGAGCCGUCGUUGUAGUAGUACUGUUUCGUGCCGCAGCUCCAGAGGUAACAGCUCUUAUCGUACGUCUGUCUGACCUCGUCAAGGUCUAUCGUAUGUCGUAACAAUUGUGGUUAAAUCACGUCUUCUACCGCGGAAAAGAAAGAGAACUUCUUCCCCCCGAAGUCAACCCCUUAAAGUAAGUCUAACCCAACAUGUAACAAGAAAGUAUCGGACACUUAUACAUCCUUACAUCUGUGCUUAAUAUCCGAGAUCUCACAUUUGAGAACAGCCUACGUGCUUUCUAGGCAGAGACACAAACGUAGAACAUUUUUUAUGUUAUGGGUACGUCUAUAGAUAUGUCUACAGAGGUUAGACCCUUUAUUUCGUCUUAUUUAACUCUUGUAACGGUACUUUACA
rnacentral:rRNA from 1 species